UGUCCUUGGUGGCGCAGUGUGCUGCUGUAUGUCAGACAGAAUGGAUCAGGAGAGGAACCGCAGACCCAUCAGAACCUAAAGAACCAGAAAUCAGAGUCUCUUCAUCCUCAAUCAUCUCCUGAGGCUGAUAUGAUGGCGGCGCCCUGUAUGGCUGCGGCUGCAUGGGCUCUCGACAACUUGCGAGUAUUUGAGCAAAAUACGCCGCCUAAAACGCUACAAACUUUGCAUCCACUCAGUAAGUUAGCAUAUGAUUGCCAGCGUCUGCUGGAAUUACGAUCAUCAAGU